AGCUGUGCUUAUACAACAAAAUGAGCAACCCUGCUCUGGCUGGUUGAGACAAGUGAGGAUACACAGCAGUCAGAAGAAUACUACCCAGCUCUCCUAAGUCCACAAACAUCUUAUACCAUGCCAGCCACCACACCCCUUUCUCCUGGAAGCCAAGAGGACACAGAGACAGGACCAGGAAAUUCCUGAGGAUGAGACCCACAACUGGAAGCCCCAAAA